UACAGAGGUGGCGAGCGUUAUUCGGAAUUAUUGGGCGUAAAGGGCGCGUAGGCGGCCACGCAAGUCCUGGGUGAAAUCCCUCGGCUCAACUGAGGAACUGCCUUUGAAACUGUCUGGCUUGAGGCCGGGAGGGGGUAGCGGAAUUCCCAGUGUAGCGGUGAAAUGCGUAGAUAUUGGGAGGAACACCAGUGGCGAAGGCGGCUACCUGGACCGGUUCUGACGCUGAUGCGCGAAAGCGUGGGUAGCAAACAGG
rnacentral:rRNA from 1 species